UGAGUUGCCAUUUCCUUCUCCAGAAGGGACAUUUGGACAAGGGCAAAACAUAGCUGAGCAAGGCAUAGCAGCCGAAUGUGAACAAUGAGUUGGAAGCUCUGGGUGUGAAUCCAUAUGGGCAGUGGUGCACUCAGAGAGAGAAGUGGAAAGAUUGUACUGGAAACGUAGGGUGGGGUCAUACCAUGUGUGUGAGACUAAAGAAUGUGCCUUUCAACCACAUCUCCGGAUGUACUAUUUGAUCCAGAGAAGCCUGAAUGCUGGAGGACCAUGAAUGCAGUUUCUCACAGAUUCUUGAAAAUGGUGCUUCGUUAUGAAGGGGCAGAUGUGGUUGACUCUACUAGGAAAGAGUUGACGAGGACAGGGUGACUGUUUGUUUGGAUGUAAAAAGCAAUGGAAGGAGUCAUAGAUAAUGGACUUUUUGAGCCCAAGUAGCCAUUGAACUUAUCCUAUGUUAUAUAUAUUUUUGAGCUUAUUUUAAUGACAGUGUCGUUCUGUGAGUUGAGGCUUCUUGGGUAGAACUGGAGGAUCGCCUUAGAUUAGGAUAAGCCCCCUUUGAGUAACUGAGUAUUGUCUUGACCCCGACUUUAUCACGUCUCUCUUCCUUUGCUGCCCUGCCCUCCCCAAGGUCUUAGAUCAGUUCUUAAAUCAGCAGCAAAGUCAUCAGGUUACAAUUUCAUCUCCAUUCUGGCCCUCUGGUGGAGAUAAAAUGGCUUAAACAUGAGCGAGAAAGUAGAAUUUAAUGUUGGGGCAUCUAGUUGCUGAUGAGAGAGGCCUUGUGGUCCAUGCUCAGAACCGUGUCUCUCUUUCCUGCUGGUUUGCCUCAUUACCAGACACGAGCUCCCACGGCUCUGGGAGGUGCGUGGUAACAUUUUGCUGGUCGGUCAAAUUUUUGUAAGCUGACAAUUCAUCUGAGCUUCACCAGGUCACUGCACACCAUUUUCUCUUUUUUGGUCUAACAGGAGAGUGCCAGUUUUGAUUUGAAGGAAAGGAGAAAGGAGGCUGUUUGAUGGGAGAGAGGAGGAACACUUUGCAUUCCUCUUUUACUUCCUGGGACUCGUCCUGUCACAUUUCAUAGGCUCCUGUCUCUAAUGGUAGAGGACAGUCUAAUGAGAGGAGCAAAGUGCGUGAACUGCACACAAUUUAAACUCAGCUCCCACGAACCAGGCUGGGCGCCAGAUUCCUGGGACUCAGGCAUUCAUCAGCCCCAGUCUCUUUUCCUUGAAUGUAGUCUGGAGAGAUGCUUGCAGGGGAGAAGAAAACUCCUCUUUGCCUUUAUUCUCUGCUUUCCACAUGGGUCUUGCAAAGCAGGCAUCUCCAGCCAGGGAUGCAGAAAGUGUGAGAGAGGAGGAGGCCUUCAGGUUGCCAUCCCUCUUCCUGGAAGGCCCUUGACCUUCCUGAUGCUUCCCGUGCUAGGUAGACCCUCCUGCUUGCUCUUGUUGACAUCUGUACUGCCUCUCUAUGAAAGCUUUGCCCCUUCUUCAAACUUCAAGGGUCCCAAUUGACAUGAAGAUAGCUGGCAUUCCUCCUCAUUUCAAGUGCUCUUGCCAACCCAUAAAAUCACCAGUUUGUUGGAUUGAUUCUUAAGUAAUAUUCAUUUGAUAUAACAAGAUGGUCAGAAGCCUAGAAUAUGUCUGGGGUGGGGGAGGGUGCACAUUUAGACAGAAAGGCUGAACUACGUAUAGAUUAUGAUGUAUUGUGUUUCAGGGAGAAGGUGGAGGUAAGCUUUGCUCCCCAUCUUGCAGAGUUUCACUCGUUACUAGAAGAUUGUCAACGUCUCAAGUUUCCAGUGAUAUCUAUGUUCUUUUGAUGUACUUUGCAGAGAAACUCAAGCAGGAACAGGCUUCAGAAUAAGCUAACUAAAGCAUCGCGGGCUUUUGAUCACUUUCCAUUAGCACGAACAAUAAUCUCUGUCCUGGCAGAUUUUGUUUGAAAGGGCGUUCACUGUUGAAUGAAGAUAAACAUGUUGCUGGGUAUUUAAGACAUCUUCUCAAUGCAGGGACUGAAAAAUUCAUACAUGAGAUUAGCUCUGUUGCCAGAAAGGGGAUUCUCAAUGGCCCAAACAUUUCCCUAGCCAUUGGCGGAACUUUGGAAAUGUGCUUUGCUAAAAAGAACAGAUACUGAACAGAUAUGUCACUUACAAAGCCUUCUGUUUCAGCGGUGAGUCCCAGGGGCCUCUUAACCACAUCGUUGCUAUGCAAUAUUUGGUCAAAGGAGAUCUACGUUUAAGGAGGACAUGUGAUCACAGCCACUGACAAAUUCCUAGAAGGUGAUGCUGGCUGUUCGUUGUUCUUUAGGUGGUGGCAGUGGGGUGCAGGAGAACCUGAGCCACUCUUUCGGUCACUGUUGUAAUGCAUAUUCUUCUGUUGCUACUGACUUGGGCUUUGACUCUCUGACUUGCAGGAGGGAGGCCAUAACUGCUCUUCCUGGUGUCUGAAAACCUACAGGCAGAAGUUUGAGCAAGCAGAUCACAGGCUCAGCCAGAGACGGUGCUCGGCCCAUUCUGUUGCUCUUUGCUUACUGACAUAUUGGGGAAAAAAUAGGGCUUGUAUUCUAAAGUUGUUUCUGUCUUAAAAGAGAGCGCCUUUUAAAUGUUUAGAACUUGGGAGCACUUUUUUUUUUUUAAUAAACUUAGUAUUUGCAGAAUGGUGUCCAUGGAGUACAGUUUCCUAAUUGAGAGAGAACAGUAAACAAAGGCAUUGCUUCCGUUUUCAUUUACAGUGCGUUCCUUCCCGCGAAGUUGAGGGUGUGGGGACCGGAUUGGAGACCAUCCUUUCCUCACAUCCAGCUGUCUCCUGGUUGUGUGAUCAUCGUAGAUGCCACGGCUCCACAGUAUCAGAGGCACUGGCGUUUUGUGCAGGAGUUAUUUAGGGACACGCAAACCAGUGGGGCUUUCUGAGGAAGGGAGGCUGUGUAUAAAAACUCUGGGGGACCCUUUCCUAACAGCCCUGGGUGGCAGAGCUGCUGAGGAGCCGGCUUGGAGGGUGAGAGCAUCCCUGUCUCUGUGAGGCCCCGGGGAGAGGCGGGCUCGUGUGUUGUGCUGCCAGCUCACACCUGGCUGCCUCGGGGCGUCCCGUCCUGUAAUUAGACCCACCCUGGAGUCUGCCCGGAGAUGAGAGGGACCCGGUGCGGAGAAAGGUGGUGGGGCGAGGCCGCAGCCACACUCCGAGCCGCGCAGGUGCAGGGGGCCGGCCGGCCGCGUGGGCCACCCCUCUGUCGGUGGAUUAACGGCUCGGGCAGCGCGGCUGCCUGAGACUGACCCUGUCACUUCCCGCUGCUGCUCCCCCUCAGAGGCGAUCUUGUUCGCUCCAGGCCUCCCCGGCCUCACAUCUCGUAUUCCCGCUCCCUAGAAACCACCUUUGCAAGCGGGUCUAUCAGUUUGAACUUCCGAGAUCACGAGAUGGCAGUCUGGAGAAGAAAGGGCGUGGCCCAGGCUCUCUUUGUGGCUGGGAUGGUUCUGGGAGAGAAAGGGAAGUUUGGAGACACCCCAACAACGGAGAUGGAGCAGCCUGCAGGCAGUAGCAUCACGAGUCAGCCCCUAGUCCUGCAGCAGACGUCAGCUUAUUCACACAGUGCCUUUUGUGCUACAAGACAAAGAAGGUUAGGGAUCCUUCGUGUCGUGAAAGUUGCUCCCCGCCCGGGGGCGUCGAGGGUGGCCGUGGUUGCCCCGUGAAUUCUCCUGCAGGGUAGCGCCUGUUUGAAGUCUGAAAUCGGGCUGAUUUGAUUCGCAUGCGGAUGCCCCCUAGUGGCCAGCACGGUGCCCUUGAAGAAAGCCCGUCCCCACGGCCACUGCCUCCCAUCCCCCAGGAAACACCUACUCCCCAGGAGCUGAGUACGUGCCACAUCACGUCUGUAUUUCCUUACUAUGCUUUGUCUACCAGGUAGGAAAAAAUCCAAAGCUUUAUUACAGAGCAGAGCAAACUAGUGCUGCUGUUCCACCAAAUGAGAACUCUUACAUCUGUAGCACACUUGUGUUAUAAUCUACUUGGAGGCGAUAGAAAACUCUUUAAAGUUUUGAUGUGAAUACUUUUGCAAUGUGUUACAGGAGAGUUAUAAUGUUGGCCA
ensembl:lncRNA